ACAUCCAGCGAACUUGGCAGAGAUGCCUGGUGCCUUCGGGAACGCUGAGACAGGUGCUGCAUGGCUGUCGUCAGCUCGUGUUGUGAAAUGUUGGGUUAAGUCCCGCAACGAGCGCAACCCUUAUCCUUUGUUGCCAGCGAUUCGGUCGGGAACUCAAAGGAGACUGCCGGUGAUAAACCGGAGGAAGGUGGGGAUGACGUCAAGUCAUCAUGGCCCUUACGAGUAGGGCUACACACGUGCUACAAUGGCGCAUACAAAGAGAAGCGACCUCGCGAGAGCAAGCGGACCUCAUAAAGUGCGUCGUAGUCCGGAUCGGAGUCUGCAACUCGACUCCGUGAAGUCGGAAUCGCUAGUAAUCGUGGAUCAGAAUGCCACGGUGAAUACGUUCCCGGGCCUUGUACACACCGCCCGUCACACCAUGGGAGUGGGUUGCAAAAGAAGUAGGUAGCUUAACCUUCGGGAGGGCGCUUACCACUUUGUGAUUCAUGACUGGGGUGAAGUCGUAACAAGGUAGGCGUAGCGAG
rnacentral:rRNA from 1 species